rnacentral:rRNA from 1 species
GUCCACGCUGUAAACGAUGAAUACUAGGUGUCUGGUGUCAAAGCUAGGUGCCGCAGCUAACGCAUUAAGUAUUCCGCCUGGGGGAGUACGCACGCAAGUGUGAAACUCAAAGGAAUUGACGGGGACCCGCACAAGCAGCGGAGCAUGUGGUUUAAUUCGAAGCAACGCGAAGAACCUUACAAGGUCUUGACAUCCUUCUGACCGAUCCUUAGCCGGAUCUUCCCUUCGGGGCAGAAGAGACAGGUGGUGCAUGGUUGUCGU